GAUCCUGGCUCAGGAUGAACGCUAGCUACAGGCUUAACACAUGCAAGUCGAGGGGAAACGACAUUGAAAGCUUGCUUUUGAUGGGCGUCGACCGGCGCACGGGUGAGUAACGCGUAUCCAACCUGCCCAUCACUUGGGAAUAACCUUGCGAAAGUAAGACUAAUGCCCAAUGACAUCCCACGAAGGCAUCCGAAUGGGAUUAAAGAUUUAUCGGUGAUGGAUGGGGAUGCGUCUGAUUGG
rnacentral:rRNA from 1 species